CCCCUCUCAGGACCACAUCUGGAGUUUCCAGUACACUACCAGUCUUGGCUAUGGGAGGAAGAGUCAAGCAGAGACAUACCCAUUCCAUUCCUGGCUUGGGCAGUGGCUAGUGAAUGGAAGGCAACCUGCUACAAGU
rfam:Ornithorhynchus anatinus chromosome X5, whole genome shotgun sequence.